rnacentral:rRNA from 1 species
AUGAACGCUGGCGGCGUGCCUAAUACAUGCCGGUCGAGCGAACGGACGAGAAGCUUGCUUCUCUGAUGUUAGCGGCGGACGGGUGAGUAACACGUGGAUAACCUACCUAUAAGACUGGGAUAACUUCGGGAAACCGUAGCUAAUACCGGAUAAUAUUUUGAACCGCAUGGUUCAAAAGUGAAAGACGGUCUUGCUGUCACUUAUAGAUGGAUCCGCGCUGCAUUAGCUAGUUGGUAAGGUAACGGCUUACCAAGGCAACGAUGCAUAGCCGACCUGAGAGGGUGAUCGGCCACACUGGAACUGAGACACGGUCCAGACUCCUACGGGAGGCAGCAGUAGGGAAUCUUCCGCAAUGGGCGAAAGCCUGACGGAGCAACGCCGCGUGAGUGAUGAAGGUCUUCGGAUCGUAAAACUCUGUUAUUAGGGAAGAACAUAUGUGUAAGUAACUGUGCACAUCUUGACGGUACCUAAUCAGAAAGCCACGGCUAACUACGUG